UUACAAGAAACGAGGCCGCGUGCGUGCGCUCGCCCGCCCGGCCCCGCUCCUUACCUUGCCUACUGCACCGUUUGUUGCUUCCUGGCGGCGGACUGCCCGCCGCCAGGGACGUUGAUACAACCCUGUAUAGAAGCAUUGAAGCUCUGAGAAAACGCGAAAUCGUACAACUUUCAACAAUGGAUCUCUUGGUUCUGGCAUCGAUGAAGAACGCAGCGAAAUGCGAUAAGUAGUGUGAAUUGCAGAAUUCAGUGAAUCAUCGAAUCUUUGAACGCACAUUGCGCCCCUUGGCAUUCCAUGGGGCAUGCCUGUUCGAGCGUCAUCUAAACCCUCAAGCCCCCGGCUUGGUGUUGGGUGCCUGUCCCCGCUCCCCGCGCGGACUCACCCCAAAUGCAUUGGCAGCCGCCUCUCGGCUUCUUGCGCAGCACAGUGCGCAGCGAGGCGAGGUGAGGCGUGCGUCCAGCAAGCAACCACCCAAGUUUGACCUCGGAUCAGGUAGGGAUACCCGCUGAACUUAAGCAUAUCAAUAAGCGGAGGAAAAGAAACCAACUGGGAUUGCCCUAGUAACGG
rnacentral:rRNA from 1 species